CCCAACACUGGAGCCUACCUGGGCUCUUUGGAGGAGCUAAUGUCGGACUCUGGGAGGGCUCACACCAAGGAGUACUUCCCGGAACUUCUGCUGCCAGUGUCCUUGUCCCCAUGGUGAGCCACAGCCAUCCCCUGCCUCUGCAGGAGACCCUCCAACACUAGCAGGCCUUGCUACUCAAAGGGCCGUCCCUGCAUCAGAAGCAUCGGCAGUCACCUGGGAGCAAUUUUUCCAGGAUCCCAGGGAUGAGCUCUACCUUGGAAGACCUUGCAGGAUGUGUGGAGAUAUAGAAGAGGUGCAUUCUCGAAAGCUCAUGAUGAAGAAGUCCUGAAGAAGUUCAGAGCCUCUUUCCAAGGUCUGAGUCCAAGGCUCAAACUUGUGUUUUUCCUGUGGCUCAGAGAGCAUAAUUUAAAUGUUCUCCUGCCUUUCUCCUCGAA